rnacentral:rRNA from 1 species
UACGUAGGGUGCAAGCGUUGUCCGGAACUAUUGGGCGUAAAGAGCUCGUAGGCGGUCUGUCACGUCGGCUGUGAAAACCCGAGGCUCAACCUCGGGCCUGCAGUCGAUACGGGCAGACUAGAGUUCGGUAGGGGAGACUGGAAUUCCUGGUGUAGCGGUGAAAUGCGCAGAUAUCAGGAGGAACACCGGUGGCGAAGGCGGGUCUCUGGGCCGAAACUGACGCUGAGGAGCGAAAGCGUGGGGAGCGAACAGG